GCUUAGCCCUAAACCUAGAUGAUUCACUUAACAAAAUCAUUCGCCAGAGAACUACUAGCAACAGCUUAAAACUCAAAGGACUUGGCGGUGCUUUAUAUCCCUCUAGAGGAGCCUGUUCUAUAAUCGAUAAACCCCGAUAUACCUCACCACCCCUUGCUAAUCCAGUUUAUAUACCGCCAUCUUCAGCAAACCCUUAAAAGGAAUAAAAGUAAGCAUAAGUAUCUUUAACAUAAAAAAGUUAGGUCAAGGUGUAACCUAUGAGGUGGGAAGUAAUGGGCUACAUUUUCUGAACCAGAACACCCCUAAACGAAAGUUCUUAUGAAACUAAGAACUAAAGGAGGAUUUAGCAGUAAAUUGAGAACAGAGCGCUCAAU
rnacentral:rRNA from 1 species